rnacentral:rRNA from 1 species
GGAAGGUGGGGAUGACGUCAAUACAUCUGCCCCUUAUGACUUGGGCUAACACACGUGCUACAAUGGGCGGUACAAAGGGCAGCGAAACCGCGAGGGUUAAGCGAAUCCCAUAAAGCCGCUCUCAGUUCGGAUUGCAGGCUGCAACUCGCCUGCAUGAAGCCGGAAUUGCUAGUAAUCGCGGAUCAGCAUGCCGCGGUGAAUCCGUUCCCGGGCCUUGUACACACCGCCCGUCACACCGCGAGAGUUUGUAACACCCGAAGUCGGUGUGGUAACCCUUUUGGGAACCAGCCGCCGAAGGUGGGACAAAUGAUUGGGGUGAAGUCGUAACAAGGUAACCAAGGGCGA